CCCUUAGAUGUUCUGGGCCGCACGCGCGCUACACUGUUCGACGCAGCGAGUCGUAACCUUGACCGAAAGGUUUGGGUAAUCUUCAGCAAAGUCGAACGUGAUGGGGAUCGAUCAUUGCAAUUAUUGAUCGUGAACGAGGAAUUCCUAGUAAGUGCAAGUCAUCAGCUUGCGCUGAUUACGUCCCUGCCCUUUGUACACACCGCCCGUCGCUACUACCGAUUGAAUGGUUUAGUGAGAUCUCUGGAUUGACGCUGGCUAGGGGGCGACCCUUGGCCAGACUGUUGAGAAACUGCUCAAACUUGAUCAUUUAGAGGAAGUAAAAGUCGUAACA
rnacentral:rRNA from 1 species